rnacentral:rRNA from 1 species
CCUACGGGGGGCUGCAGUGGGGAAUAUUGCACAAUGGGGGAAACCCUGAUGCAGCGACGCCGCGUGAGUGAAGAAGUAUUUCGGUAUGUAAAGCUCUAUCAGCAGGGAAGAUAAUGACGGUACCUGAGUAAGAAGCCCCGGCUAACUACGUGCCAGCAGCCGCGGUAAUGCGUAGGGGGCAAGCGUUAUCCGGAUUUACUGGGUGUAAAGGGAGCGUAGACGGCAGCACAAGUCUGAAGUGAAAUGCCGGGGCUUAACCCCGGCACUGCUUUGGAAACUGUGCAGCUAGAGUGCAGGAGAGGUAAGUGGAAUUCGUAGUGUAGCGGUGAAAUGCGUAGAUAUUAGGAGGAACACCAGUGGCGAAGGCGGCUUACUGGACUGUAACUGACGUUGAGGCUCGAAAGCGUGGGGAGCAAACAGGAUUAGAUACCCGGGUAGUC